CUGGUGUGAGGCCCCCAAGGCUCAUGUGUGCUCCGCGUGGGAGGAAGCGGAGCGGUGGGUGAAGCCCCGCCAGGUGUUGGCCAGGAGGCCUGGAGCCCUGGCUGCUGAGCCCCCGGGUCCGUCCUGCCCCUGCUGCCAGUUCUCGCAGGCACCAGGUGGGCACAGCCAGCCCCUCCAGAGGCAAGGCCACCAGGCGCCCGCCCCCGCCGCCUGCCAGUACCAUCUGCGCCCUUCCGCAGGCGUAAACCUUGGCGUGACCCCUUGGCGGGACCCUUCCCGUAGAAAGCAUCCAAGUGGAAGGAAGGUAAACACCCGCAGGGCAGACCCAGACACACGAGCUCCGCGGGGCCCGGCUCAUUCCUGAGACCCCGGGUCCCAGAGCCCGUGACAGCGAGCCCCCGGUGCCCCACGCUCCGGGAAGUCCAGUGGCCGCCUGAACACGGGCCAGCAGGCGGGUGGCACUUCAACGUCAGGGGAAGUUAGAACGCUGCCCCAGGAGGCCGCGGGAAACCAGCUCUGCAGACCCUGGGAGUGAGCUCCCGGCCCAGCCCGCGGCCUGCAGGCCCCCCAAGCACCCCUCUCCUCCAGCCGGGGGCCCGUGUCUGAGGCCGGCCCCCCACAGAUGUCCGGCCAGGACAGUGGCCACAGGCAGACAGGAGAAGGCAAAUUGAAACGUGACGAGAAGGCUGGGGACAGAACGUGACAGUGCUGGGUGCUGGGGACACAGCGGCACAGCCACCUGACGACACGGUUUGGAGGCAGGUUUUGCUUCUUUAAAGAUUUUAUUUGACGGAGACCGAGAGCCUGAGCCGGGAGCCCACGCGGACGCGAUCCCAGGACCCCCGGAUCACGAGCUGGGCCGGAGGCAGACGCUUCGCCGGCGGAGCCUCCACGUGCCCCGGCAGGCGGGUUUUGCUGCCGUCUGUCUGUCUUUCCUUGUUUCUUUCCUGUCAGCGAUCCUUUCUUCUUGGGGGGAAUCGGAGGCACAGCAAGGGCGAGAACUGCCCCGUGGCUGGGCACACGCACCCCUCCGGCCGUCAGCACCCAGCGGGCGGGCGCACGCUCACAGCCCGAGGACCUGCUGCCUGGGGGGCCCGCCCCCGCCCCACC